rnacentral:rRNA from 1 species
GACGAACGCUGGCGGCGUGCUUAACACAUGCAAGUCGAACGGAAAGGCCCUGCUUUUGUGGGGUGCUCGAGUGGCGAACGGGUGAGUAACACGUGAGUAACCUGCCCUUGACUUUGGGAUAACUUCAGGAAACUGGGGCUAAUACCGGAUAGGAGCACCUGCUGCAUGGUGGGGGUUGGAAAGUUUCGGCGGUUGGGGAUGGACUCGCGGCUUAUCAGCUUGUUGGUGGGGUAGUGGCUUACCAAGGCUUUGACGGGUAGCCGGCCUGAGAGGGUGACCGGCCACAUUGGGACUGGAAUACGGCCCAGACUCCUACGGGAGGCAGCAGUGGGGAAUAUUGCACAAUGGGCGGAAGCCUGAUGCAGCAACGCCGCGUGCGGGAUGACGGCCUUCGGGUUGUAAACCGCUUUCGCCUGUGACGAAGCGUGAGUGACGGUAAUGGGUAAAGAAGCACCGGCUAACUACGUG